rnacentral:rRNA from 1 species
AGAGUUUGAUCAUGGCUCAGAGUGAACGCUGGCGGCGUGCUUAACACAUGCAAGUCGAACGGAAACAGGCCCUUCGGGGUGCUGUCGAGUGGCGCACGGGUGAGUAAUGUAUAGCUAACAUGCCCUUUGGAGGGGGAUAGCCACUGGAAACGGUGAUUAAUACCCCAUACUCCUCGAGAACUUAAGUUCUUGAGGGAAAUCUUUUUUGGCCAAAGGAUUGGGCUAUAUAGUAUCAGCUUGUUGGUGAGGUAACGGCUCACCAAGGCUAUGACGCUUAGCUGGUCUGAGAGGAUGACCAGCCACACUGGAACUGAGACACGGUCCAGACUCCUACGGGAGGCAGCAGUGGGGAAUAUUGGGCAAUGGGCGGAAGCCUGACCCAGCAACGCCGCGUGGAGGAAGAAACCCUUAGGGGCGUAAACUCCUUUUAUCAGGGAAGAUAAUGACGGUACCUGAUGAAUAAGCACCGGCUAACUCCGUGCCAGCAGNCGCGGUAAUACGGAGGGUGCAAGCGUUACUCGGAAUCACUGGGCGUAAAGAGCGCGCAGGCGGUUUGGCAAGCUAGAUGUGAAAGCCUGUAGCUCAACCACAGAACUGCAUCUAGAACUGCAGACUAGAGUCUGGGAGGGGUAGCUGGAAUUAGUGGUGUAGGGGUAAAAUCCGUAGAGAUCACUAGGAAUACCGAAAGCGAAGGCGAGCUACUGGAACAGUACUGACGCUGAGGCGCGAAAGCGUGGGGAGCAAACAGGAUUAGAUACCCUGGUAGUCCACGCCCUAAACGAUGGAUGUUAGUCGUUGGAGAGCAAGUCUCUCCAGUGAUGCAGCUAACGCAUUAAACAUCCCGCCAGGGGAGUACGGUCGCAAGACUAAAACUCAAAGGAAUAGACGGGGACCCGCACAAGUGGUGGAGCAUGUGGUUUAAUUCGAAGAUACGCGAAGAACCUUACCCAGUCUUGACAUCGAUGGAACCUGCUAGAGAUAGCGGGGUGCCCCUUUUGGGGAACCUGAAGACAGGUGCUGCACGGCUGUCGUCAGCUCGUGUCGUGAGAUGUUGGGUUAAGUCCCGCAACGAGCGCAACCCUCAUCCUUAGUUGCUAACAGGUUUGGCUGAGAACUCUAAGGAGACUGCCCGGGCAACCGGGAGGAAGGUGGGGAUGACGUCAAGUCAUCAUGGCCCUUACGGCUGGGGCGACACACGUGCUACAAUGGGCAGGACAGAGAGAAGCAAUACCGCGAGGUGGAGCAAAGCUGUUAAACCUGCUCUCAGUUCGGAUUGUAGUCUGCAACUCGACUACAUGAAGUUGGAAUCACUAGUAAUCGCGAAUCAGCCAUGUCGCGGUGAAUACGUUCCCGGGUCUUGUACUCACCNCCCGUCACACCAUGGGAGUUGAGUUCACCCGAAGCGGGGAUGCUAAAAUAGCUACCCUCCACGGUGGGCUCAGCGACUGGGGUGAAGUCGUAACAAGGUAACCGUAGGAGAACCUGUGGUUGGAUCACCUCCUU